rnacentral:rRNA from 1 species
AUUGAACGCUGGCGGCAGGCCUAACACAUGCAAGUCGAGCGGAUGAGGGAAGCUUGCUUCCCGAUUUAGCGGCGGACGGGUGAGUAAUGCCUAGGAAUCUGCCUAUUAGUGGGGGAUAACGUUCCGAAAGGAACGCUAAUACCGCAUACGUCCUACGGGAGAAAGUGGGGGAUCUUCGGACCUCACGCUAAUAGAUGAGCCGAGGUGGGAUUAGCUAGUUGGUGGGGUAACGGCUCACCAAGGCGACGAUCCGUAGCUGGUCUGAGAGGAUGAUCAGCCACACUGGAACUGAGACACGGUCCAGACUCCUACGGGAGGCAGCAGUGGGGAAUAUUGGACAAUGGGCGAAAGCCUGAUCCAGCCAUGCCGCGUGUGUGAAGAAGGUCUUCGGAUUGUAAAGCACUUUAAGUUGGGAGGAAGGGUUGUAAGCUAAUAUCUUGCAGCUUUGACGUUACCAACAGAAUAAGCACCGGCUAACUCUGUGCCAGCCGCCGCCGUAAUAC